rnacentral:rRNA from 1 species
AUGAACGCUAGCUACAGGCUUAACACAUGCAAGUCGAGGGGCAUCAGGAAGAAAGCUUGCUUUCUUUGCUGGCGACCGGCGCACGGGUGAGUAACACGUAUCCAACCUGCCCUUUACUCGGGGAUAGCCUUUCGAAAGAAAGAUUAAUACCCGAUGGCAUAAUGAUUCCGCAUGGUUUCAUUAUUAAAGGAUUCCGGUAAAGGAUGGGGAUGCGUUCCAUUAGGUUGUUGGUGAGGUAACGGCUCACCAAGCCUUCGAUGGAUAGGGGUUCUGAGAGGAAGGUCCCCCACAUUGGAACUGAGACACGGUCCAAACUCCUACGGGAGGCAGCAGUGAGGAAUAUUGGUCAAUGGGCGCUAGCCUGAACCAGCCAAGUAGCGUGAAGGAUGAAGGCUCUAUGGGUCGUAAACUUCUUUUAUAUAAGAAUAAAGUGCAGUAUGUAUACUGUUUUGUAUGUAUUAUAUGAAUAAGGAUCGGCUAACUCCGUGCCAGCAGCCGCGGUAAUACGGAGGAUCCGAGCGUUAUCCGGAUUUAUUGGGUUUAAAGGGAGCGUAGGUGGACUGGUAAGUCAGUUGUGAAAGUUUGCGGCUCAACCGUAAAAUUGCAGUUGAUACUGUCAGUCUUGAGUACAGUAGAGGUGGGCGGAAUUCGUGGUGUAGCGGUGAAAUGCUUAGAUAUCACGAAGAACUCCGAUUGCGAAGGCAGCUCACUGGACUGCAACUGACACUGAUGCUCGAAAGUGUGGGUAUCAAACAGGAUUAGAUACCCUGGUAGUCCACACAGUAAACGAUGAAUACUCGCUGUUUGCGAUAUACAGUAAGCGGCCAAGCGAAAGCAUUAAGUAUUCCACCUGGGGAGUACGCCGGCAACGGUGAAACUCAAAGGAAUUGACGGGGGCCCGCACAAGCGGAGGAACAUGUGGUUUAAUUCGAUGAUACGCGAGGAACCUUACCCGGGCUUAAAUUGCAGUGGAAUGAUGUGGAAACAUGUCAGUGAGCAAUCACCGCUGUGAAGGUGCUGCAUGGUUGUCGUCAGCUCGUGCCGUGAGGUGUCGGCUUAAGUGCCAUAACGAGCGCAACCCUUAUCUUUAGUUACUAACAGGUCAUGCUGAGGACUCUAGAGAGACUGCCGUCGUAAGAUGUGAGGAAGGUGGGGAUGACGUCAAAUCAGCACGGCCUUUACGUCCGGGGCUACACACGUGUUACAAUGGGGGGUACAGAAGGCAGCUAGCGGGUGACCGUAUGCUAAUCCCAAAAUCCUCUCUCAGUUCGGAUCGAAGUCUGCAACCCGACUUCGUGAAGCUGGAUUCGCUAGUAAUCGCGCAUCAGCCACGGCGCGGUGAAUACGUUCCCGGGCCUUGUACACACCGCCCGUCAAGCCAUGGGAGCCGGGGGUACCUGAAGUACGUAACCGCAAGGAUCGUCCUAGGGUAAAACUGGUGACUGGGGCU